rnacentral:rRNA from 1 species
GACGAACGCUGGCGGCGUGCUUAACACAUGCAAGUCGAACGGUAAGGCCCUUCGGGGUACACGAGUGGCGAACGGGUGAGUAACACGUGGGUGAUCUACCCUGCACUUCGGGAUAAGCCUGGGAAACUGGGUCUAAUACCGGAUAGGACUCCUGGCUUCAUGGUUGGGGGUGGAAAGCUUUUGCGGUGUGGGAUGGGCCCGCGGCCUAUCAGCUUGUUGGUGGGGUAAUGGCCUACCAAGGCGACGACGGGUAGCCGGCCUGAGAGGGUGACCGGUCACACUGGGACUGAGAUACGGCCCAGACUCCUACGGGAGGCAGCAGUGGGGAAUAUUGCACAAUGGGCGCAAGCCUGAUGCAGCGACGCCGCGUGAGGGAUGACGGCCUUCGGGUUGUAAACCUCUUUCAGCUAUGACGAAGCGCAAGUGACGGUAGUAGCAGAAGAAGGACCGGCCAACUACGUGCCAGCCGCCGCGGUAA